rnacentral:rRNA from 1 species
GGGUUGUGAGGUUAAGCGACUAAGCGUACACGGUGGAUGCCCUGGCAGUCAGAGGCGAUGAAGGACGUGCUAAUCUGCGAUAAGCGUCGGUAAGGUGAUAUGAACCGUUAUAACCGGCGAUUUCCGAAUGGGGAAACCCAGUGUGAUUCGUCACACUAUCAUUAACUGAAUCCAUAGGUUAAUGAGGCGAACCGGGGGAACUGAAACAUCUAAGUACCCCGAGGAAAAGAAAUCAACCGAGAUUCCCCCAGUAGCGGCGAGCGAACGGGGAGCAGCCCAGAGCCUGAAUCAGUGUGUGUGUUAGUGGAAGCGUCUGGAAAGGCGCGCGAUACAGGGUGACAGCCCCGUACACAAAAAUGCACAUGCUGUGAGCUCGAUGAGUAGGGCGGGACACGUGGUAUCCUGUCUGAAUAUGGGGGGACCAUCCUCCAAGGCUAAAUACUCCUGACUGACCGAUAGUGAACCAGUACCGUGAGGGAAAGGCGAAAAGAACCCCGGCGAGGGGAGUGAAAAAGAACCUGAAACCGUGUACGUACAAGCAGUGGGAGCACGCUUAGGCGUGUGACUGCGUACCUUUUGUAUAAUGGGUCAGCGACUUAUAUUCUGUAGCAAGGUUAACCGAAUAGGGGAGCCGAAGGGAAACCGAGUCUUAACUGGGCGUUAAGUUGCAGGGUAUAGACCCGAAACCCGGUGAUCUAGCCAUGGGCAGGUUGAAGGUUGGGUAACACUAACUGGAGGACCGAACCGACUAAUGUUGAAAAAUUAGCGGAUGACUUGUGGCUGGGGGUGAAAGGCCAAUCAAACCGGGAGAUAGCUGGUUCUCCCCGAAAGCUAUUUAGGUAGCGCCUCGUGAAUUCAUCUCCGGGGGUAGAGCACUGUUUCGGCAAGGGGGUCAUCCCGACUUACCAACCCGAUGCAAACUGCGAAUACCGGAGAAUGUUAUCACGGGAGACACACGGCGGGUGCUAACGUCCGUCGUGAAGAGGGAAACAACCCAGACCGCCAGCUAAGGUCCCAAAGUCAUGGUUAAGUGGGAAACGAUGUGGGAAGGCCCAGACAGCCAGGAUGUUGGCUUAGAAGCAGCCAUCAUUUAAAGAAAGCGUAAUAGCUCACUGGUCGAGUCGGCCUGCGCGGAAGAUGUAACGGGGCUAAACCAUGCACCGAAGCUGCGGCAGCGACACUAUGUGUUGUUGGGUAGGGGAGCGUUCUGUAAGCCUGUGAAGGUGUACUGUGAGGUAUGCUGGAGGUAUCAGAAGUGCGAAUGCUGACAUAAGUAACGAUAAAGCGGGUGAAAAGCCCGCUCGCCGGAAGACCAAGGGUUCCUGUCCAACGUUAAUCGGGGCAGGGUGAGUCGACCCCUAAGGCGAGGCCGAAAGGCGUAGUCGAUGGGAAACAGGUUAAUAUUCCUGUACUUGGUGUUACUGCGAAGGGGGGACGGAGAAGGCUAUGUUGGCCGGGCGACGGUUGUCCCGGUUUAAGCGUGUAGGCUGGUUUUCCAGGCAAAUCCGGAAAAUCAAGGCUGAGGCGUGAUGACGAGGCACUACGGUGCUGAAGCAACAAAUGCCCUGCUUCCAGGAAAAGCCUCUAAGCAUCAGGUAACAUCAAAUCGUACCCCAAACCGACACAGGUGGUCAGGUAGAGAAUACCAAGGCGCUUGAGAGAACUCGGGUGAAGGAACUAGGCAAAAUGGUGCCGUAACUUCGGGAGAAGGCACGCUGAUAUGUAGGUGAAGUCCCUCGCGGAUGGAGCUGAAAUCAGUCGAAGAUACCAGCUGGCUGCAACUGUUUAUUAAAAACACAGCACUGUGCAAACACGAAAGUGGACGUAUACGGUGUGACGCCUGCCCGGUGCCGGAAGGUUAAUUGAUGGGGU